rnacentral:lncRNA from 13 species
AUUAUAGCAAAUGUUUGUUGAAAGCUUACUACAUGCCAAUCAUUGUUCUGAGCUCCUUACUUGUGUUAACUCAUUUUAUCCCAUAACAAUUCCAGGAAGCAAACACUGCUAUUAUCACUGUUAGGCAGAUGAAAGCGCUGACAGUGAAGCGACUUGCCCAGAUCCUACAAAAAGAGUCUGCUGUGUCGCCCAGGCUGGAGUGCAAUGGCAUGAUCUCUGCUAACUGCAACCUCUGACUCCCGAGUUCAAGCGACUCUCCUGCUUCAGCCUCCCAAGUGGCUGGGAUUACAGAUUGAAAAUUUUCAAAAGAAAAAAAAAAGGAAGGAAGAGAGAAAAGGAAAUUGGCCCUCCUUCACGAAAAAGUUGAGAAGAGUGGUCUUUGAUGAAUCAGGCUUGGCCUAGCCCUUGCAGAUGGGUGAGACUUCCACAGCUAACUAUAUGGAACAAGGGUGGAACAAGGCCAGUCAGCAGCAUCUAUUCAAAAGGAGGGAUUCCGGGAACAAAUGAAGACAAAGACAGUUUGCACAGUCGGAAGACAGGAAGUUAAAUGUCAUUCAAAGCUAAGGAACUAGAAAUUCUUCUUCAGCAUAUCAGCUACCACAGCAGAAGUCUCCAUCUCUGUUGGUAAGACUUAAAAUUUUCUCCUGGAUUAUGCUAAUGAGAUCAUUUGCACAAUGAUUUUUUUUUUUUUUUACAAAAGGAACUGGCUUGUGCUAUGCUCUUUUCCUUGUAAGGAACCAGGUGAAGUAAGGCAAAAAGGUUUUCCUCUGUGUAUAGAACAAAAUGGCAAACAUGAGGGCUGUGGGAAAGGCAAAAGCUAACACAGAGCCAGAGAAACAGACACCGAGCAGUUUAGUAGAGAGCCAGGGCCAAACAGGAGAACUCCAAUAUAGAGCGGAACAGAAGCUGGAGCAGGGUCGAGGUUAAAGCAGGCAAAGAGAUGACAGGAAGAUUUCUAGAGGCAGGGGGCCAACUCACCUGGCUGCUGAGGUCAUCUUUUUAAAAGGGCUGAGAUGGUGUGAACAAAGUCAGACUAGGAUUCAGGACAGCAACCAGGAAGCAUUUCAUGAAAGCUGUGUGAGAGUAGCAACAGGUCAAGCAAAGCAUCUCAGUGUGCUCCACACAUCACAGGAAACAGUAGUCCCUUUAUCUCCACGGUGCUGAGUGUAAAGAUGCUGUCUGGCUCCUUUCUCAACCAGGUGCCUCAGUUGAGGUAUUGCAAAAUCUGCACAAGAUACUCCAGGGAUACUCAUUCAAGUCUCCUGAUGAGUUAAAUUUCCUCAGCGCAAAUGAAUAGAAAUAAAAUGUAAGACAACUCAGGAUUCA